CGGUUCCGAGCGCCCUGCCAUCCGUAGCUAUACCGGACAGCAUGCUGCCUGAGUUCGGGAAACAGUUUUCUGAUCUGUCCGCAAUUUUCUCCUAUUCCUCGUCAGGCAGCUCAACAACCUACGACUCACCUCAGCGCUCCUCAAAACCUUGGGCAAGGCAUUAGAGCGGGAGAGCAGGAUUUGAGGCAGGAGAGACAGGACCGAGUUAUUCCGUUGGAGUCCCCCGAAACAGCGAACAAGCACUUUUCAAGGAAUCUGGCUGAUCCCCUAAUCAUGACGGCUUGCGUUCAGAUUGUUUUGGGGACGAUAAAAACUUGCCUUCCAUGCUUGGAAUACCAGAGGUCCCUCCUACCCUACUGGGCCUACCCUUCCCUGAAUAAAGAAUGCAUCUCCCGGAGCAGCUCGGAGAGAGAUGGUUAGGAGCCACAGCUCCUCCCAACACUGACGCCCUCAUACCUCUCAUUUUACAUGCAUGUGCUGCAGUCCUGUUGUGAAAUGUAAUAGACGCCACACUAACAGGUCAGCAGCUGCUAGAUUAUCUUUGAUCACAGAGUUGGUGCCAAUCAAUGAUUGAUUAAAUUAACCAUUUGAAACAAAAA